AACGAUGAAGCCCUUCGGGGUGGAUUAGUGGCGAACGGGUGAGUAACACGUGGGCAAUCUGCCCUUCACUCUGGGACAAGCCCUGGAAACGGGGUCUAAUACCGGAUACGACUGCGGGAGGCAUCUCCUGUGGUGGAAAGCUCCGGCGGUGAAGGAUGAGCCCGCGGCCUAUCAGCUUGUUGGUGAGGUAACGGCUCACCAAGGCGACGACGGGUAGCCGGCCUGAGAGGGCGACCGGCCACACUGGGACUGAGACACGGCCCAGACUCCUACGGGAGGCAGCAGUGGGGAAUAUUGCACAAUGGGCGAAAGCCUGAUGCAGCGACGCCGCGUGAGGGAUGACGGCCUUCGGGUUGUAAACCUCUUUCAGCAGGGAAGAAGCGAAAGUGACGGUACCUGCAGAAGAAGCGCCGGCUAACUACGUGCCAGCAGCCGCGGUAAUACGUAGGGCGCAAGCGUUGUCCGGAAUUAUUGGGCGUAAAGAGCUCGUAGGCGGCUUGUCACGUCGGGUGUGAAAGCCCGGGGCUUAACCCCGGGUCUGCAUC
rnacentral:rRNA from 1 species